rnacentral:rRNA from 1 species
AACGAACGCUGGCGGCAUGCCUAACGCAUGCAAGUCGAACGAGAACGCCGGGUCUAGUGGGGGACGGGGAGGUAACGAGGGGGAAGUUACACUUAGGUUAGGAACAAUUGCCCGAAGGAGGAGCUAAUAAAGGAGAAUGUAAUCGGAGCAAAGAUCUAUUGCCUUUGGGUGGGGCCGCGUUGGAUUAGCUAGUUGGUAGGGUAAAAGCCGCCCAAGACGACGAUCCAUGGCUGGUCUGGGAGGAUGACCAGCCACACUGGGACUGAGACACGGCCCAGAGUCGUACGGAGGGCAGCAGUGGGGGAUAUUGGACAAUGGGCGAAGGCCUGAUCCAGCAAUGCCGGGUGAGUCAUGAAGGCCUUAGGGUUGUAAAGCUCUUUUACCCGGGAUGAUAAUGACAGUACCGGGAGAAUAAGCUCCGGCUAACUACGUG